UACGUAGGGUGCAAGCGUUAAUCGGAAUUACUGGGCGUAAAGCGUGCGCAGGCGGUUCGUUGUGUCGGUGGUGAAAGCCCCGGGCUUAACCUGGGAAUGGCCAUGGAAACUGGCGAACUGGAGUGUGGCAGAGGGGGGUGGAAUUCCGCGGUGUAGCAGUGAAAUGCGUAGAGAUGCGGAGGAACACCGAUGGCGAAGGCAGCCCCCUGGGCUAGCACUGACGCCUCAGGCACGAAAGCGUGGGGAGCAAACAGG
rnacentral:rRNA from 1 species